GAUCCUGGCUCAGGACGAACGCUGGCGGCAUGCCUAACACAUGCAAGUCGAACGGAGCACCCUUGACUAAGUUUUCGGACGAGGGAGAGGAAUGCUUAGUGGCGGACGGGUGAGUAACGCGUGAGCAAUCUGCCUUUCAGAGGGGGACAACAGCUGGAAACGGCUGCUAAUACCGCAUAAUAUAUACUGGCCGCAUGACCGGUAUAUCAAAGAUUUAUCGCUGAAAG
rnacentral:rRNA from 1 species